rnacentral:lncRNA from 1 species
GUAGAGGGACCACACGAUCAUCAUGGUCUGCCGUGAGCAGCAGUGUAGCGGGAUACUGGAUGCCAUCUUCUUCUGGUAGUUUAACAUUGUGAAGUGGAGAAUACUUGCACAGCCAUUCAAACUGCUCUUUAUGGUCAGAGCAACCAUAGUCAGUAGUCCAAGCAUGGCCAAUGGUGUACUUGUGGAACUUUAGCAUAUCCAUAACUCCCACUUGGGCAAUAACACAGCCGAAGAGGUCAGGACGCUGAUUAGCACAGGCAGCAACUAAGAGGCCUCCAUUUGAACCUCCAUUAAUAGUCAGCUUCUUUGGAGAUGUGUAGCCCUCUCUGAUGAGGUAUUUGGCAGCAUACUGAAAGUCAUCAAAGCAAUUUUGUUUGUUGGCCAAGAUACCACCUUUGUGCCAGGUCUCUCCAUAUUCACCACCACCCCUGAUGUUCGCCACUGCUAGAACACCCCCCAGGUGUCGCACAAAAAUAAGUCUUGACACACUGUAGCUUGGUGUAAUUGAUAUGUUGAAGCCUCCAUAUCCAUACAAGAAGGCAGGAUGAGAACCAUCUAAUUUAAUUCCUUUCUUGUGAAUAAUAAACAUGGGGAUCUUAGUACCAUCUUUACUAGGGUAGAAAACCUGAAUUGUCUGGUAAACCGAAGGAUCAAAUCCUUUCACAGUCACCUCCCGGAAAACUCUUGGCUCCAGUUCCUCUUUAGUCAGAUCACAGUGAUAUAUAAUACCUGGAGAUAAAAAUGAAGUAAACUGAUAGAAUAUUUCAUUAUCCUUCUUCUGACCACUAUAUCCCACAAUACUUCCAACAUCUAAUGGGAAAGUCUUGAGAUGUGCACCAGUAGCUAGAUCAUGAAGUUGCAGGAUAUUCUUCACAUCAUGCAGAUAGCAUAAAACGAGGAAGUUGGACCUCACACAAGCAACCCAUUCUAAAACAUCUCUUUCAUGUUCAGGGAUGAGAACUUUCCAUUUGGAUUCCUCUGGGUCACUGAAGUCAAUGUUGAUUAAUCGGUAAUUUGGAGAGUGACGGUUUGUCUUGAAAGUGAAUACUGUUCCUUCAUUGGUGACAUACUCAUACUCAGCCUCAAAGUUAUCUAUCAACUUCACCCACUGAAGAAUUCCUGAUAUACCCUGAGACUCUUUCUGGAGAUCACAGUACCACAGCCUGUUCACUGGAUCACACCCUUCUCGAAUGGACAGCAAGACAUAUCGACCAUCAUCAGAUAUCUCAGCACCACCCAUCCAUUUUGGUUCAUCAGGAAAUUCAGCACACAGGAUAUCUUCUGAUUGGUUAGUUCCUAAUACGUGAUAAUGCAGCUUUUGGUGCAGAUUAGUGGAGGUCUCAGUACCAUCACUUUUCCCAUCUUGUUUUGGAUAGCAGUUAUAGAACAUGCCUUUUCCAUCAUGGGUCCAUGCCAUGCAACUGAAUUUAACUCUUUCCAGUGUAUCUGGAAGCUCCUCAGGGCCUUCCACUUUCAUAAACUUGAUAGUAACCCAAUCAGAACCACUAGAACUCAGGCCAUAUGCAAAGUAUUCACCAUCUUCACUGAAUGCAUAACCUAGAAAAUCAGAAAUAAACAAGACGCCGUAAGAACCAGAACAAGGAAUCAGUGUUUUCAAUAAACAGUGUUUG